CAGGGACAGCAAAGGGAUGA
rnacentral:miRNA from 1 species